GAACCGGCCCGAGCGACCCGCAGCGCCAGGAGGCUGGGGCGGCUGGGCCCGGGGGCGCGUGCGUGGCGGGCGGCCUCCAGCUGCCAGCACAGCCCGGCCAACUCCGCUGCAAGCCCCCCCCCCCCCGCCCCGGUCACUUUCAAGGUGACAGCUCCGGGGCGCUCCGCAUCCGCCCCCGCCGCGCCAGCUGCGCGGACCCGGCGAGACCGCCUUAGGCAGCGAGCCCCGGAGAGCCCCCCCCCCCCCCCGAGCUGGGGCCGCCCGCCUCGCAGCGCCGCGCUCACGCCGUCCCCUCCGCCCCCGCCCCACACCCCGCCGCGCGCCGGCGGCCGGACGGGUCUCGACCCCGCACUCACCCGCAGCUCCUCCUCCUCCUCGGGGGCGGGGGGGGGCGUGCAGAGGCGCAGCCCCGGGGAGCCCUGGCCCGAGCGCCCCGGCGCCCUUGGGUCCCCCGCGGAGGCGCCCCGCGCGCGGCGUCCGCACCUGGGCGCGCACGGCCCGGCCCGCACCCCGCCCCGGGAGGCUGCAGCGGCCGGGCGGGAACCCCGAGUCCGGGCGCCCCAGCCUCCCCGCCUCCCGAGCCGCGGGGGGUGGAGCCAGGGCGGGGAGUCGGGGAAACUUGUAAAUAGAAAAGCUCCGCCGCCGCCCCCCCCCCCCCCCCCCCAGCGGCCCCAGCCUGCGCCUCCGCUGCUGGAGACAGAGGCGGGCGGCGCGGAGGGGGCGCUGGGCCCCGGGAGGGGAGCCCCGGGAGGGAGCCGCGGAGGGGGCGCUGAGCCCCGGGAGGGAGCCGCGGAGGGCGCGGCGGCACCUCGGGAGGCGGGUUCGGGAGCUCCCGCCGCGCUCUGCCCCGCGUCUCGGCCGCUCCUCCCGCGCUCCCGCGUCCCCGUCCGGGUCCCCGAGCCCCGCACGCUCCCGGGCUACAGGCGGACGCGCCCCGAGCCCCCCCCCCCCCCCCCCCGGCGCCAGCCCAGGGCCGCGCUGCACCUGUUGCCACGUGCACAACGCGGCGCCCGGCGGCUGCUGCCCGCGCACCUGGCUGAGCCGCGCGUCCCCGGGCCGCUCACGUCCCCGCGGGCGGUCGCAGCUGAGCUCGGCUCCGGCUCCUGCUCCGGCUCCCGGUCCGGCCCGCCGCGCUGUCCCCGCGAGCCUCCGGCUCCAGCGAGCCCCGGGGCACUGCAGCGGGGGCGGGCCGGGGGGGGCGGGGAGCCCGGAGGUUGCAGAAUUAUCCCGACCGAGGGCCGCUAG
rnacentral:lncRNA from 1 species